rnacentral:tRNA from 1 species
AGUUAAAUAGCUUAAUAUAAAGCAUAUAUUUUGAAAGUAUAAGAUGGGGUAUGCCCCCAUUAACUU